rnacentral:tRNA from 4 species
GGGCCUAUAGCUCAGUUGGUUAGAGCGGCAGACUCAUAAUCUGCGGGUCGAAGGUUCAGAAAAACUCAGCGGAUGCCUC